GCGCCAGUAGCUUAAUGGAUAGAGCAUCUGACUACGGAUCAGAAGGUUGGGGGUUCGAGUCCCUCCUGGCGCG
rnacentral:tRNA from 1 species